rnacentral:rRNA from 1 species
CGUAGGGACCAAGCGUUGUUCGGAUUUACUGGGCGUAAAGGGCGCGUAGGCGGCAAUUCAAGUCAGUUGUGAAAUCUCCGAGCUUAACUCGGAACGGUCAACUGAUACUGCUUUGCUAGAGUGCAGAAAGGGCAACCGGAAUUCUUGGUGUAGCGGUGAAAUGCGUAGAUAUCAAGAGGAACACCUGAGGCGAAGGCGGGUUGCUAGGCUGUCACUGACGCUGAAGCGCGAAAGCUAGGGUAGCAAACGGGAUUAGAUACCCCGGUAGUCCUAGCCCUAACGAUGUAUGCUUGGUGUCUGGAGUUUUUAUCUCUGGGUGCCGUCGCUAACGCUUUUAGCAUACCGCCUGGGGAGUACGCACGCAAGUGUG